GACGAACGCUGGCGGCGUGCUUAACACAUGCAAGUCGAACGGAAAGGCCCUGCUUUUGUGGGGUGCUCGAGUGGCGAACGGGUGAGUAACACGUGAGUAACCUGCCCUUGACUUUGGGAUAACUUCAGGAAACUGGGGCUAAUACCGUAUAGGAGCUCCUGCUGCAUGGUGGGGGUUGGAAAGUUUCGGCGGUUGGGGAUGGACUCGCGGCUUAUCAGCUUGUUGGUGGGAUAGUGGCUUACCAAGGCUUUGACGGGUAGCCGGCCUGAGAGGGUGACCGGCCACAUUGGGACUGAGAGACGGCCCAGACUCCUACGGGAGGCAGCAGUGGGGAAUAUUGCACAAUGGGCGGAAGUCUGAUGCAGAAACGCCGCGUGCGGGAUGACGGCCUUCGGGUUGUAAACCGCUUUAGCCUGUGACGAAGCGUGAGUGACGGUAAUGGGUAAAGAAGCACCGGCUAACUACGUG
rnacentral:rRNA from 1 species